ACCAGCUUAGAGAAUCCAAUGGUGAAAAGUGGAAAAACUUCCACAUUCAGUGAUAGUCACUGGCCAAGCAGACCACAUAGGAUAAAGCUGUAAGGAAUUUCAGUCUUCCUUCUUGAUGGAAAAGAGAUCACAAAAACAACAAAACAUUCACAUCAGAGAAUCAAGAUAACCUUGAUUUCCAUCAUUCCCAUCAAGCAUCCAAUAAAAUUAUUUAAUAAAGAUUCAGUGAGCCUCAACUAUGUGGAAAACUUGAUGAAGUGGGAAGAAGGAUAUGAGGCAAAAUCAUCUGAUGUUUGCUGGCAUUAUCGGAAAUGUUAACUCAGUGCCAGCAUACCAGCAUUCCUGGCAAUACAAAAAUCAUUCCCAGAAGAACUUCCUGGACUCCUAAUCAAACCCUGGCACUUCAUACCACCAGGCCAACAAAAGAGAUCUACUCAAAGGUUCCAGUGAUGCAGAGAACACAGACACACUCAGUUCCAGUAUAAAAUUAAAGAGCUGAACCGAAAGAGGAGGGCACAUGAAGGACAACUAUAAUCUAGGGAACCAUACUCUUGAAAACAGAGAGCACUUCUUGUGACUCACAUUUCCUCCCAAAAGCCAUGAUUUACUCUCAUGUAAGUCAGGUCCUAUUUGGUUUUAGUAACUUAAUACCACAGAGCUAUCGAUUGUCUAUUGUGUUACUUGUGGAUAUCAAGCUAAGAAUCUUCUCCGAAACCAGUGCUGCAGAAGGAAGGGAAAAUAAUGCACAAAUCUUUA